GGAAUCAAUUGUCGCUCCCAUCCCAUCCCGAGCCCACACAAAUACUCCCGUCAUAUCCCGAUCACGUGACUGCCCCCUCCAAAAAAUCCUGUCCUGCAAAAUCCUGAGAGAAAGGCUCCCGAAUCCCAUCCAUGUGUGUGUGUGUGUG